AAGGCUAAGCAGUGAUGUGGAGCAAAUCCCCAAAAGCAGUCUUAGUUCGGAUUGUAGGCUGCAACCCGCCUACAUGAAGUCGGAAUUGCUAGUAAUCGCGGAUCAGCAUGCCGCGGUGAAUACGUUCCCGGGCCUUGUACACACCGCCCGUCACACCAUGGGAGUUGGUAACACCCGAAGUCAGUAGCCUAACCGCAAGGAGGGCGCUGCCGAAGGUGGGAUCGAUGACUGGGGUGAAGUCGUAACAAGGUACC
rnacentral:rRNA from 1 species